CAUGCACUUGGGAGGGUCCCUCAGUCCAGAUUGUGAGAGGGUGCAGGCCAGGUCGAGGGACCCCACUGGUGCAUG
rnacentral:pre_miRNA from 1 species